rnacentral:rRNA from 1 species
CAACAGGGAUUGCCUCAGUAACGGCGAGUGAAGCGGCAACAGCUCAAAUUUGAAAUCUGGCCCUCGGGUCCGAGUUGUAAUUUGUAGAGGAUGCUUUUGGCGACGUGCCUUCCGAGUUCCCUGGAACGGGACGCCAUAGAGGGUGAGAGCCCCGUCUGGUCGCGCACCUAGCCUCUGUAAAGCUCCUUCGACGAGUCGAGUAGUUUGGGAAUGCUGCUCUAAAUGGGAGGUGUAUGUCUUCUAAAGCUAAAUACCGGCCAGAGACCGAUAGCGCACAAGUAGAGUGAUCGAAAGAUGAAAAGUACUCUGAAGAGAGAGUUAAAUAGCACGUGAAAUUGUUAAAGGGGAAGCAUUUAUGACCAGACUUGGGGCAGGCCGAUCAUCCAGCGUUCUCGCUGGUGCACUCGCCGGUUCUAGGCCAGCAUCGGUUCGCGCCGGGGGAUAAAGGCUUCGGGAACGUAGCUCUCUCCGGGGAGUGUUAUAGCCCGUUGCGUAAUACCCUGGGGCGGACUGAGGAACGCGCUUCGGCACGGAUGCUGCCGUAAUGGUCAUCAAUGAC